UACGUAGGGGGCAAGCGUUGUUCGGAAUUACUGGGCGUAAAGGGCGCGUAGGCGGCUCGGCAAGUCAGGCGUGAAAGCCCGGGGCUCAACCCGGGAAUGUCUUUUGAAACUGCCGAGCUAGAGUGCGGAAGAGGCAACUGGAAUUCCCAGUGUAGCGGUGAAAUGCGUAGAUAUUGGGAAGAACACCUGAGGCGAAGGCGGGUUGCUGGGCCGACACUGACGCUGAGGCGCGAAAGCCAGGGGAGCGAACGGG
rnacentral:rRNA from 1 species